GUGAGGAAUAUUGGACAAUGGCCGAGAGGCUGAUCCAGCCAUGCCGCGUGCGGGAAGACGGCCCUAUGGGUUGUAAACCGCUUUUGUUGGGGAGCAAUAAGGUCCACGUGUGGAUCGAUGAGAGUACCCAGCGAAUAAGCAUCGGCUAACUCCGUGCCAGCAGCCGCGGUAAUACGGAGGAUGCAAGCGUUAUCCGGAUUUAUUGGGUUUAAAGGGUGCGUAGGCGGAUGCCUAAGCGUGAGGUGAAAUCCCCGGGCUCAACCUGGGAACUGCCUCGCGAACUGGGUGUCUGGAAUGCCCCUGCCGUGGGAGGAAUGUGUGGUGUAGCGGUGAAAUGCAUAGAGAUCACACAGAACACCGAUUGCGAAGGCAUCUCACGAAGGGGUGAUUGACGCUGAGGCACGAAAGCGUGGGGAUCAAACAGG
rnacentral:rRNA from 1 species